GCCCUAGUAACGGCGAGUGAAGCGGCAACAGCUCAAAUUUGAAAUCUGGCCUCUUACAGGGCCCGAGUUGUAAUUUGCAGAGGAUGCUUUUGGCGUGGUGCCUUCCGAGUUCCCUGGAACGGGACGCCAUAGAGGGUGAGAGCCCCGUCUAGUUGGACACCGAAGCCUCUAUAAAGCUCCUUCGACGAGUCGAGUAGUUUGGGAAUGCUGCUCAAAGUGGGAGGUAUAUGUCUUCUAAAGCUAAAUACCGGCCAGAGACCGAUAGCGCACAAGUAGAGUGAUCGAAAGAUGAAAAGCACUUUGAAAAGAGGGUUAAAUAGUACGUGAAAUUGCUGAAAGGGAAGCGCUUAUAACCAGACGUGGAAAUGUCCAAUCACCUAGCACCUGUGGGCUGGGGUACUUGGGCUUCUCCAGGCCAGCAUCGGUUCGCUGUGGGAAAUAAAGACGCCUGGAACGUAGCCCCUCUCGGGGGGUGUUAUAGCCUGGCGUGCAAUGUCCUGCAGCGGACCGAGGUCAGCGCGUAAUUGCAAUGAUGCUGGCAUAAUGGUUAUUAGUGACCCGUCUUGAAACACGGACCAAGGAGUCGUCUUCGUAUGCGAGUGUUUGGGUGUCGAAACCCGUGCGCACAAUGAAAGUGAACGUAGGUGAGAGCUCUCUGGAGCGCAUCACCGACCGAUCCUGAUGUUCUACGGAUGGAUUUGAGUAAGAGCAUACGGGGCCGGACCCGAAAGAAGGUGAACUAUGCCUGCGUAGGGUGAAGCCAGAGGAAACUCUGGUGGAGGCUCGCAGCGGUUCUGACGUGCAAAUCGAUCGUCAAACGUGGGCAUGGGGGCGAAAGACUAAU
rnacentral:rRNA from 1 species